rnacentral:rRNA from 1 species
AGGAUCAUUGUCGAAUCUUGCAAUAGCAGAAGAACCCCAACAACCGUCCCCUCUUUUUUGGUCUUAACUGCCAAGGGCAGCCCGUGAACGCGUCAUCUAGCCUGCCAUCAGGGGCUAUGCCGUUGCUUGGCCAAAAUCUUCGUAACCUCCUCUCCUCAGAGCGGGGUGAUCGGGGUAAAAGAACCCACGGCGCCGAAGGCCUCAAGGAACACUAUGCCUAACAAGGGGAAGCGGUUGGCUUGCUAGCCGCCCCCCGUGUUGCAAUGCUAUUUAAUCCACACGACUCUCGGCAACGGAUAUCUCGGCUCUCGCAUCGAUUAAGAACGUAGCGAAAUGCGAUACCUGGUGUGAAUUGCAGAAUCCCGCGAAACAUCGAGUCUUUCAACGCAAGUUGCGCCCGAGGCCACUUGGCCGAGGGCACGCCUGCCUGGGCAUCACGCCAAACACGCUCCCACGCCUCAUCGGGUUGGGAUGCGGCAUGUGGCCCCCCGUCUAGCAAUAGGCGGUGGGCCAAAGAUGCGGCUGCCGGCAUAUCGUGUCGGACACAGCGCGUGGUGGGCGAACUCGCUUUAGUUACCUCAGUGCUUGACGCUCUGACCGCGACCCCAGGUCAGGCAGGACUACCUGCUGAA